ensembl:lncRNA
AUGUCUCCUCCACAAGUGAAGGAGCAGAGUGCCAGAAAUUUUAAUGAGUCUCUUUUGCACUUGGAAGAAAGUUAUUUGAGCCACUGGUCUCCAAAAGAUGUUUCCAGCUUAACUUUCCAUUUUUUGAGGACAAGAGAUGGAACAUGUUUUGGAAGCCCUGGGAUAAGCCGUUUGAACACUCUGAUCAUCAUUUUGUUUUACAUUCUGGAGUUUUUGCUGCGAGUGGCCAAACCUGGUCUGUGUGGGAACCCCGGAGCCCCAGUUACAUUACAGACUUCCAAGUAUACAAGGUACUAUUGUCAACUAUAAUCACGUGUUAUAUAUGACAUCCCUGGAACUUACUCAUUUAUAACUGGAAGUUUGGGUCCUUUGACCAACAUCUCACCGUUUCCUCUACCCUCCAGCCCCUGACAACCACCAAUCUCCUCUCUUUUUCUUCCAGUUUAGCUCUUAUAGAUUCUCCAAAUAUUAGUCUCACCUUUUUUGGAAACAGAAACAUGAUACAUACAAAAAGGAAGAUGAUGACAUCUGAAUGAACCAACCUGAAUGAAAGAGGAUGGAAAGGCAUGAUUAGUAUUUGAAAGGAAAAAGACAUGGUGAACAUUAUUCCACAAUGUGCUUCUGAAUCCAAAAUAUUAUGUCUAUGGGGGAGAAAUUGAUGGUGGUAAAGGAUAUUCUCAUGUAAGCAUUUUAAUUAUUUCACACCAACUCAAUAUUACUAACCUCAACAGUCUGUAUUUUCCUAACAAUUCUAUCUUAAAAAGUCAGUGUUUCAGUAAGAACAUGGGACGGAAUACUCCCAAAGUGUAGAUGUUUCUGAAAUAAUAUUUAUAAAAUACUCCUCUCAUUGUUAUGUGGCCAUUAGUUAACAUAUCUUGAUAGGACCACCAACUUAAUGGCUUAUUCCCAUAGGAACGUUUGACUUAAAAAAUUUUUUUUGUUCUUUUUUCUUUAACUUGUCUUAAACAUUUGACUUCAUAUUACUCUAUUGCAAGUUUAUUACCUAAAGAAAACUUAAAAUAUCUAUUAUCUGAUCAUAUCAUUUAACUAAAUUAAAGUGUAAAAAGUUACAUAAAAAUUGCCCAAGAAGAUACAAAAUUCUCAUUUACAAACAUCAUGUAACGGGAUGAUAUUUUAAAUAUAUGAGUAGAAGACUUUUAUUUAUGUCUGAAAACUAGGACAGGAAAUGAUAUAAAUUGAUAGUUAUGUAAUCUCAGAGCCCACACCAACUAAGUUUUUUGGUUAACGUUGCCUUGUGGUUGAAGUGGCAGAGAAACCCUUCACGUUUCUGACAGAAAAAUAAUGCUUUUUUUCCUCUCUAGUCUUCAGAAAUUAUUUUGCCAUGAUUUGUAGAAGAAUAAACCUCCAUUAUCAUCACUGGAGUGUUUUUCU